GGGGAUUUAGCUCAGUGGUAGAGCACUUGCCUAGCAAGCACAAGGCCCUGGGUUAGAUCCUCAGCUCUG
rnacentral:tRNA from 1 species